AAACAACGUUAUAAUGGGACGUCACAUAAUCGUUCAAGGACCCACAUAAAGCUUUAUUGACUGUGAAGAUAUCACACACAUUCAUGUUAUAUUCAACCUGCAUGUUAACCGUACAUUUUGUUUUUUAGGAACAGAACUCUAAAAGACCACGAAAUUGUGCACACUGUGGAAAGACCCUUAACUCAAGUUUCCUCGAAUGAAUGCGAGAUGAAACAGAGGGAUAGUGAAGAAGCACGUGAUGGAACAAACAGGCCUUCAUGCUUCAAGGGAAGGCUGUCCUGCGUCCUGACACAUCUUAUAGCUGUAGCCUUAAAUGCACUACUUAUGUUAGACACCUUUCAUUUGCCUAUGGCACUGCAUAAUGCGAGCCACAAAGGGAGGGAUAAAACAGUGAUAUUCAAGCACGUCACUGGUCCACACCAUACUCCAUGAUGAGGCACAAAGCACUGACCAGGAGAUUUGACUGUCAAGUACAGUUGGAAGCAGUUCACAAACUUGAGCUCCCUCGUGAUGUAAAAGUGAUAGUUUUGGAUGUAGCAAGUGAAUCCGAGGACAGGGAAGAUCUUGAAGUAAUCUGUUUCUUGCACGACACACUGCUGAAGGGUGAACUGUUACCAGGCUCUGUGGCGAACAAUGACCAUCUCACCAGGAUCAGCAGAAACAUGCAUGAGAAGAAACUGACACUGACUGGAAUAACUAGUAAACUAUGGCUUCAGUACCUGUCUAUGGUUGACAUAAUAUAAUGGAAUGCUUUCUGAAGGCUGAGAGAACUGGAAACUGACUUCUUCGCCUGUCAGCUGUACAUAUCUUGCUGUAGCUGGACACAACUUGUAUACAAACUCCGCCUAUCUGUACCUGCAACACACUUGACAAAAGGAAUUCCGUUGUCCACAAAAGCUUCUUGGAUGGACACCGUGUUGUGAGACGAAGCAACAGAUACUGACCUGACAAUUGAUCAGACUUGAUCAUGACUGAGCAGACUCUGGUGCAGGUGGGCUCACUUGAGGGACAGUGAUAACAGUCACAACGUGUAAAGUGGGUGCUUUCCAUGCCAGCAUGUUGUCAUAUGAAGCUUCAUGCAGGAAGUCACUGGCACUCUACGAUCUACGAGCGAUCAGCACACAGACUUGGGAUCCACACGAUCUAGAAACUAUACCGAUGUUUUCCUUGUCUGGGUUUGGUGACCAAUCACAGUUGAAAUGGGCUGGUUUCAACAAAGAAUUUGAUCCAAUGUUUGCCAGUGAUUACUCACCAUCGAAAGGACCUGGUUUCAGGAGAGAAUUUGAUCCAGUGUUUGCCAGUGAUUACUCAUCAUCGAAAGGACCUGGUUUCAGGAGAGAAUUUGAUCCAAGGUUUGCCAGUGAUUACUCACCAUCGAAAGGACCUGGAUUCAGGAAAGAUAUCUCUCCUGUGAAGCCAUCCAACAGACAGGGCAAGAAGGCGCUGAAGGCCUCAAUACAGAAACUGGCCUCGCCCACCCACCCCACUGUGUCGCCUAGACUCCCUGACCUGCAUCCCAGUAGAAGUGGGUCUCGGAGCAGACACUUGCAGCCCAGUUUUCAGCGCCUUGAAGCCCAGCUGCGAUCUGUGUCGUUUUCCCACGGCGGACUGUUGAACGUUGUGAGGAAACGCACAGAAGACAUGGUGAACAUCAACAAAGAAAUGAUCCAAUUGAUGCGUGCCAGGGACGAGGUCAUGAUUCAACUUAAAAUGAUUCAGAGGUUGAAUUCUUGUUUGAGGAGAAGGCGACUGAAGAACAAGUCGCACGAGCACGGAAGUUCUUGUUACCCGAUCACUUCUACUUGUACGAGAACAAACCACCCUGCCCCGGCUGCAUUGGUUGUGAAGACGAAGAUCGCGACAAAGAUACAACUGAUGCCAGCUUAUCAGAGCUGUUUCAGAGAAUGAAACUUGUUUGAUAUGUUGUGAAUACAGGGAUUAUAGAGGUGGUGUCGUAUUAACAUGGGUAACAAUUCUGGUAUAUAUAUUAAUUAUUGGUGAUAGUUUCAUAAUCAACACCAAUAUUGGUAGAUAUAUUAGAGAUAGUUUUAUAAUCAACACCAAUAGUAGUAGAUAUAUUGGUGAUAGUUUUAUAAUCAACACCGAGACUAGUAGAUAUAUUGGUUAUUGGUGAUAGUUUUAUAAUCAACACCAAUACUAGUAGAUAUAUUGGUGAUGGUUUAAUAAUCAACACCAAUACUACUAGAUAUAUUAGGGAUAGUUUCAUAAUCAACACCAGUACUAGUAGAUAUAUUGGUGAUGGUUUCAUAAUCAACACCAGUACUAGUAGAUAUAUUGGUGAUGGUUUCAUAAUCAACACCAGUACUAGUAGAUAUAUUGGUGCUGUUUUUAUAAUCAACACCAAUACUAGUAGAUAUAUUAGGGAUAGUUUUAUAAUUAACACCAAUACUAGUAGAUAUAUUGGUGAUGGUUUCAUAAUCAACACCAAUACUAGUAGAUAUAUUGGUGAUGGUUUCAUAAUCAACACUAAUACUAGUAGAUAUAUUACUAGAGAUAGUUUUAUAAUCAACACCAAUACUAGUAGAUAUAUUGGUUAUUGGUGAUAGUUUUAUAAUCAACACCAAUACUAAUAGAUAUAUUGGUCAUGGUUUUAUAAUCAACACCAAUAGUAGUAGAUAUAUUGGUUAUUGGUGAUAGUUUUAUAAUCAACACCAAUACCAGUAGAUAUAUUGGUGAUGGUUUAAUAAUCAACACCAAUACUAGUAGAUAUAUUAGGGAUAGUUUCAUAAUCAACACCAGUACUAGUAGAUAUAUUGGUGAUGGUUUCAUAAUCAACACCAAUACUAGUAGAUAUAUUGGUGAUGGUUUCAUAAUCAACACCAAUACUAGUAGAUAUAUUAGUGAUGUUUUUAUAAUCAACACCAAUACUAGUAGAUAUAUUGGUGAUAGUUUCAUAAUCAACACCAAUACUAGUAGAUAUAUUGGUGAUAGUUUUAUAAUCAACACCAAGUACUAGUAGAUAUAUUGGUUAUUGGUGAUAGUUUUAUAAU
rnacentral:misc_RNA from 1 species